UAAUAAAUGACAAAUUGAAAAUAAAUACUACUAAAUUCUAAUGUAAUAUGAAAAACUCAACAUGAUAUUAUCUUCUCUUGAAAAUAUUGUUUUUAUUCAUGAUGGGAAAAAAUGAUAUAUUGCUGGAGAUUCUUCAACUGACGCAGUUUUCCAGUUAGUCCCUUCGUUUUCAUAAACUGUUUCGGACUUCCUUGACCUCAUCAGCGUGAGACGGUCAUUGAAUGAAUGACACUCACGGACAGUUUAUGCAAACUGCCGAACAUUUCAUCUUAUUUCAUAAACAGUCAUUCAGAGUAUUAAUUUUUUUCUUGUACUUGCAAAUCAUGGUAGCAAAUUUUUUAUUGGUUUUCCUCAGUUUAGAAAUGGCAGAUUGAGAAAUAUUCCAAUAUUUGUGUCGCUUAGCAGGGUUUUCAAGAUCAGCUUCUACAAAAUCUUUCAUGUAUACAGGUACUGAUCUUUUUCUGAAAACAACAAGAAAGUUAUAUAGUAGUAUAGGGCCUGUUUUUAUGAAAACUUCUGAUAUACAAAACAUGCAUACAAAGUUUCCUAUUCACCUUUUUCUGAUAUUACUACCAUGUUCCAUUGUUUUUAUGGGUGGUAGGGAUUCUGAAUUCAGUUGAUUUCCUUCCUGGGAUGAUGGAACGUUAGUGUCUGAGGAUUCUUCCUUUUUUAAAACUUUGUACUUUGACAGAUAGUUUUUAAAGUUAAAUUUAGAUGGAACAGCAUUUUUCUUUAAAACUCUUUUUCCUUGCAUAUUCGUUAGAUAAUCAUUUUCCUGAAAAUGAUUGCUGCAUAUCCUUGAAUAUUGAGUAGGAACAAAAUUGGCUCUUCUCAAAGCCAAUAUCCAUUCAUUUCUCAAUGUGCCUGGAUUCGGAAAACUGUAAAUUCGAAUGUUUUUCAUCAGUUUUCGUUGCUUUAAAGGGAUGAUAAAACUUACGAGUGUAAUGUUAUAUUCUCCCCUUUCUUUCUUUCAACUGUGCAGUUAUAUGCUGAGCAACUUUGAGGCAUGAUGGAUGUUCUCAAAAGAACAAAAAAUUUGAAAGUCUUUCUUUCCCAACAAAAUAAAUUUAGUAGCAAAAUUCCACUAA